GCCUGUCCGUCUGUCCGUCGGUCGGGUCUGGGUCACCCGCUGAGCCCCGCGGAGCAGCACCGGGUUCCUGCGCCCUACGAGGCCGGGCCUCCCUUGCACGCCCCUGGCCUCAGGGGGCAGAAAGCACAAGCUUCCCUGGGUCCCCCCCGGGUCGCCCUCCUGCCUCCCUCCCCCGCCAGGCCUCAGGGCGCAGCCCCGGGACCUCCAGGAGGUCGCCGUGACCUUGGGGGCCGCCGUCCAGCUGCAGCGCAGGCUCUGCCCCCAGAGGGGUUGUUCCUGGAGGUCACGGCCACACACUGGCGCCCAGGGAGCCUUGGGGCCUUGGGGCCUUGGGGCCUUGGGACCUCGGGGCCUUGGGGCCUUGGGACCUUGGGACCUUGGGGCCUUGAGCCUUGGGGCCUUGGAGCCUUGGGACCUUGGGGCCUUGGGGCCUUGGGACCUUGGAGCCUUGGGGCCUUGGGACCUUGGGGCCUUGGGGCCUUGGGGCCUUGGCCUCUCUCAGCAGCACGUCCCUGCUCAUUUCCAGGCACCGGGGGUGAACAGUGCCAAGUUCCAACCCCCCCAUCUUUAAUUACCGAUCACCUUGCAGCCCCAGACCCUCCCACUGCUGCCCAAACCCUGGGAUUUUUGCAGAGACAGUUGGGCUGCACGUCUGUGGGUGGCUUAAGAUCCUGUGAAUUACGCAGAUCCUGGCUCUCGUAUCAUCAAUUAUUCUGGUCCCUCAUGUGGGCCCGCGUGGGCUGCAUCUUGUGAUUUCUGGUUCUCGCCCUGCAGGGACUCUUAUCAGCCUGACCUUUUGAGUCACUUCGUCACUGAAUUGCUUUUCUUAAUUUGCAAUGCCCCCCCCUCCCCACCACCUUCUGCCUUUUUCUCCCUGACACCCAUUCUGACUAGCACACUGGUUCCUAACUUGCAUAGAUACAUUCUCGGUUCCCUUUCUCCCUCUCAAGUGUGAAGUUUAUCACCUGAAAAAACAAAUCAAGUGUGACUUUUCCCCCUUUAGUUUCCUAAUCAUUUUAAAGCACUGAUUUAUCUCCUGAAAUAAUGGGAACAGGACAAUGUUCUAAAAGGGUAAUGAGAAAAGAAAAAAACUUUCCUUGCUUUGAGCGUUGAAUUCACUUUUACUUUAAA
rnacentral:lncRNA from 12 species